rnacentral:rRNA from 1 species
GACGAACGCUGGCGGCGUGCCUAAUACAUGCAAGUAGAACGCUGAAGGAGGAGCUUGCUUCUCUGGAUGAGUUGCGAACGGGUGAGUAACGCGUAGGUAACCUGCCUGGUAGCGGGGGAUAACUAUUGGAAACGAUAGCUAAUACCGCAUAAGAGUAGAUGUUGCAUGACAUUUGCUUAAAAGGUGCAAUUGCAUCACUACCAGAUGGACCUGCGUUGUAUUAGCGCGUUGGUGGGGUAACGGCGCACCUAGGCGAGGAUACAUCGCCGACCUGAGAGGGGGAUCGGCCACACUGGGACUGUGACACGGCCCAGUCUCCUACGGGAGGCAGCAGGAGGGAAUCUUCGGCAAUGGACGGAAGUCUGACCGAGCAACGCCGCGUGAGGGAAGAAGGUUGUCGGAUCGUAAAGCUCUGUUGUAAGGGAAGAACGAGUUUGAGAGUGUAAAGUUCACUCUGUGACGGUAUCUUACCAGAAAGGGACGGCUAACUACGUG